rnacentral:rRNA from 2 species
AGCAGCCGCGGUAAUUCCAGCUCCAAUAGCGUAUAUUAAAGUUGUUGCAGUUAAAAAGCUCGUAGUUGAAUUUUAGGCCUGACCGGGCGGUCCGUCUCUGGCGAGUACUGUCCUGUUGUCGGGUCUAUCCUUCUGGUGAGCCGGUAUGUCCUUAAUUGGGUGUGUCGGGGAACCAGGACCAUUACCUUGAAAAAAUUAGAGUGUUUAAAGCGGGCUUUUGCUUGAAUAGAUUAGCAUGGAAUAAUAGAAUAGGACGUUGGUUCUAUUUUGUUGGUCUAGGACCACCGUAAUGAUUAAUAGGGAUAGUUGGGGGCAUUAGUAUUCAAUUGUCAGAGGUGAAAUUCUUGGAUUUAUUGAAGACUAACUACUGCGAAAGCAUUUGCCAAGGAUGUUUUCAUUAAUCAAGAACGAAAGUUAGGGGAUCGAAGACGAUCAGAUACCGUCGUAGUCUUAACCAUAAACUAUGCCGACUAGGAAUCGGGCGACGUUAUUUUCAUGACUCGCUCGGCGCCUUAUG